CACGGACCCGCUACGGCGGGUGGCUUCACCGAGCGCCUAUCCCUCGGCAACCA
rnacentral:ncRNA from 1 species